CCUUAUAACUGUAGCACGCUUUAAAAUUUGCAUGUAUCUCCAGGCUGUGAUAUAUAUAUAUCAGCGUUUUCCGGGUAUAGACCUAAACGUUACUAACGAUCGAUGAUUGAUUAUACAUCUCAGAAAUCUUCAAAUCGGAAAAAUAUUUUAAUGUAAACGAAUAUUAUGAUUAAAAGUACGCUAAGAUCACAACGGGUCGACCGAGAUUUACUUAUCAUAUUAUUGCAUUUGGUCAUUACAUUACAUUAUACAGUACCGUAGCUAAUUUUUUUUUUUUUGGAGGGAGCACUCACAAUUUUUAUAUAAAAUCCCAUAUUUUGUUGAACGAUAAAAUACACAGAAAAAACCAAUAAACAAAAAAAAAGGGCACGUCCCCUCACCACCCCUCCAUCAUCACCCAUGCGCUGGUGUGUACUAUUCAGAGGAGGUUUAAAUUCCUGUUCCCAAAAAGUCCGCGAUUUCAAGAUGUCACUGUAUGGGUACCUAUAUUAUAAUAUUUUGAAAUGUAUUUAUAUUAUAGUCAUAAAAUCAACUUCUUAAUAAAUAGAUAGGUAGUCUAGUGGAUAGGGCGUUAGAUUAGGCAGAGUUACGGGUUCAACACGAGACUGUGCCAAGUUUUAUUUAAUAAACGAAAAUUUCGUGGCCAUCCGUUAUUUUAUUAAUAUUUUCUAAA